AAUAUGCGGAGAUGGCAGGCAAUGCGAGAGUCCUGCAGAAGAAAACGCCGCAGACGGUCAUCAGGAGAAGCGUCUGACAGCUGCUCAGUGAAAUCAUGGCUUUCUGCAGAUGUUUAAAUCAGUGUGCUUGUUUGGUUUGGCUCUCUGCCGUUGUUUGGGGUGGUUUGGGGAACUCUCAAGAGUUGUAAGGGAUGUUGAUGAGAUGUAGAUCCCAGAGAAUCGUCCCCAGAUGUCCUCCACCCGUGCUUCACUAAUGGCUGGGGCUGGAUUUCCUCAGAACUGAGUGAACCACACCCUGAUGAAGCUGAGAACCUCAGAGUAACCCGGAUCCGUCUGUAAGAACACAAUCUGCAUGUCUCUCUUGAUCACUCUGUGAUAGAUUGUGGCUGUUGUCUUGGACACAGGCUCCUCCUCUUCCUGGCAGCCCAUAAUGAGCUGAAUAUUGGCUCUCAGUGCUCUCUCUCUUAUCCAAUAUGAGAUCAAUAAUGCUUUUACAGCCUUGGAGGAAAACUGGAUGAAGAAUCCUGCAUGUCUGUCCGGCUUCAGUCAGAGAGAGAGAGAGAGUGUGUGUGUGUGUGUGUGUGUGUGUGUGUUUGUGUGUGUGUGUGCGCCGCGCCCUUGUUCUUGAGAAAGAGAAAAAAAAGGAAGCUGUUUGUCCUCCUGAUGGAGUUUCUUGAGCAUUUCUUAUGCUUCUCUUUCUUUUAUGGAACAUAGAGAUGUUUUCUUAUAAUGGAAGUGAAUGGAGAUCCAAAAUUAAUAUGAAAGCAUCAUAAAAGUAUCUUAUAUAUUUUUUUAAAUUGGAGAUUGAUACUUGCAUUCUUCCUUUCCUGAAAUUCUUGAACAACUUUUCAACCUCUACAUUUUGGAUGGAUGUUUUGAGUUGUUAAAAAAGUGUAUUAUGUUCAUAUUAUAGUUUUAGAAGAGUAUCCAGAAAAGUGCUGUUGAAAUGUAACUAAUUAUUAUAAUUAUUAAUUAUAUGUCAUAUGAAUAAUAUUGAAACUCCAGGACCUUGUG